GGAAACGGACGCUAAUACCGCAUACGUCCUACGGGAGAAAGCAGGGGACCUUCGGGCCUUGCGCUAUCAGAUGAGCCUAGGUCGGAUUAGCUAGUUGGUGAGGUAAUGGCUCACCAAGGCGACGAUCCGUAACUGGUCUGAGAGGAUGAUCAGUCACACUGGAACUGAGACACGGUCCAGACUCCUACGGGAGGCAGCAGUGGGGAAUAUUGGACAAUGGGCGAAAGCCUGAUCCAGCCAUGCCGCGUGUGUGAAGAAGGUCUUCGGAUUGUAAAGCACUUUAAGUUGGGAGGAAGGGCAGUUACCUAAUACGUAAUUGUUUUGACGUUACCGACAGAAUAAGCACCGGCUAACUCUGUGCCAGCAGCCGCGGUAAUACAGAGGGUGCAAGCGUUAAUCGGAAUUACUGGGCGUAAAGCGCGCGUAGGUGGUUCGUUAAGUUGGAUGUGAAAGCCCCGGGCUCAACCUGGGAACUGCAUUCAAAACUGUCGAGCUAGAGU
rnacentral:rRNA from 1 species